GCCUUUGUGGUGUAAUGGCCAGCAGACUUGGCGCGUAUUCAAGAGGUACGUGGUUCGAGUCCCGGCGAGGGCA
rnacentral:tRNA from 1 species